rnacentral:rRNA from 1 species
AUUGAACGCUGGCGGCAGGCCUAACACAUGCAAGUCGAACGGAGCGGCGGACGGGUGAGUACUGCCUAGGAAUCUGCCUGGUAGUGGGGGAUACCUUCCGGAAACGGGCGCUAAUACCGCAUACUAUCAGAUCAGCCUAGGUUGGAUUAGAUAGUUGGUGGGGUAAAGGCCUACCAAGUCGACGAUCCGUCAGUGGCCUGAGAGGAUGAUCAGUCACACUGGAACUGAGACAAGGUCCAGACUCCUACGGGAGGCAGCAGUGGGGAAUAUUGGACAAGGGGCGAAAGCCUGAUCCAGCCAUGCCGCGUGUGUGAAGAAGGUCUUCGGAUUGUAAAGCACUGUAAGUUGGGAGGCGUUACCAACAGAAUAAGCACCGGCUAACUUCGUGCCAGCAGCCGCGGUAAUUC